GGAGUUAGCCGGUGCUUCUUCUGUGAGUGAUGUCCUUCCUGCCGGCUAUUAACCCGCAGGCCUUCUUCCUCACUGAAAGUGCUUUACAACCCGAAGGCCUUCUUCACACACGCGGCAUGGCUGGAUCAGGGUUGCCCUCAUUGUCCAAUAUUCCCCACUGCUGCCUCCCGUAGGAGUCUGGGCCGUGUCUCAGUCCCAGUGUGGCUGAUCAUCCUCUCAGACCAGCUACGGAUCGUCGCCUUGGUGAGCCGUUACCUCACCAACCAGCUAAUCCGACAUAGGCUCAUCCGAUAGCGCGAGGCCCGAAGGUCACCCGCUUUCCCCCGUAGGGCGUAUGCGGUAUUAGCCUGGGUUUCCCCAGGUUAUCCCCCACUACCGGGCAGAUUCCUAUGCAUUACUCACCCGUCCGCCGCUCGCCACCAGGGAGCAAGCUCCCCGUGCUGCCGCUCGACUUGCAUGUGUUAGGCCUGCCGCCAGCGUUCAAUCUGAGCCAUGAUCAAACUCUGA
rnacentral:rRNA from 1 species